UCGUCAGCUCGUGUCGUGAGAUGUUGGGUUAAGUCCCGCAACGAGCGCAACCCUUGUUACUAGUUGCCAGCAUUAAGUUGGGCACUCUAGUGAGACUGCCGGUGACAAACCGGAGGAAGGUGGGGACGACGUCAGAUCAUCAUGCCCCUUAUGACCUGGGCUACACACGUGCUACAAUGGACGGUACAACGAGUCGCGAACUCGCGAGGGC
rnacentral:rRNA from 1 species